CCAUCCUGUUCAAUAUACGGAAUACAUCGGCAUUUUAUUCGCAAUCCUCUUUCGCCAGAAUGAUAAUCGAGGAUUGCCGCCACAGGCCGGGAUACAUUAACGUGGACUCCGUGCAGAGUACUCCGUACUGAGCACAGUGUUUUCCGUACUAUCAUCAUGUGUCCCUUUAGCCCACUUUCCCGGGGAGGGGGUCUAUGAUAGACAAGUGCGCACGGGGAUAGAGGAACGACAGAUCACACUAUUCUUUGAUUUUAUCCUUUACGCCUGAGCGCCUGCGUCUCUUUGCUGGAUAUGGAUGUGGAUCUGGAGGGCUUGCAGCCGAAUGCCACUAACGAGGGCGACGAGGAAUAAAUAGGAUUGCGAGCUGAGCUGGGCAAAUUCGCCGUGGAGAGAGCCUGGCGCCAGCCCGGCAGUGACCAAUCAGUUUAUUUUUCAAGAGCAGCAUCAAAGAGAACCGCUUAUGUGGUGUGCAUCACUGAGAGAUGAAAGCCGGUAUCAUCCAGGAUUCUAUUUUGUAGACGAGAG
rnacentral:sRNA from 1 species